rnacentral:lncRNA from 1 species
AGGCUCAGUGUGAACAUCAGCUAGAGUGACAGCCUUCACGUCUCCUCACAGCAGAGCUGCAGUGAACCGAUUCCUCAAGGCCCGUCCCACCUGGGUAAAGUGGCCAUAGGGCUUCUGUUGCCUUCCUAGAAACUUAUCUUUAAGGGAAAACCCUUGAAGGAUAUCAGACAGCCAUUUUCAGGAUUUGGAAUGCAGAAUAACUGCCAGGUCGUGAUACCUGGCACAAAGAAUAGGGUAGGAGGACGAAGUUGAAUUAAAGAAGCUGAAGGAUUUAGAGAAGUCUGUGGAGAGGAGAGCUGACUAAAUAGAGAGGGAAAGAAAGAACUCAUGGUGUUCAUCAGGCUUUUCUGGCUAAGGAUUUAGAACCUGAAACUCUGCAAACUUGAGAGGAGAGGAGAGCAACAACUGAACAAUGAAGAGGGGAUGAUUUAAAGACCAGUUCUGCCAAAACAUUUCAAAUAUGAAAACCAAAAAGGAAGGAGCUGGGGAAAAAGGCUCAAGUGUUCCUAGCUGACCCCUGACCACCACCACAGAGCACCACCUCGGCCAGGAGACACUGGGCUCCAGGCCAGGAGCUUGGCCCUGGCCGAGUGA